rnacentral:rRNA from 1 species
GGAGACGGAUCGUUUACUUUGAAAAAAUCAGAGUGUUUCAAGCAGGCAUCAUCGCUCUUGCAUGGAUUAGCAUGGGAUAAUGAAAUAGGACCUUGGUGCUAUUUUGUUGGUUUCGAGCACCGAAGUAAUGAUUAACAGGGACAGUCAGGGGCACUCGUAUUCCGCCGAGAGAGGUGAAAUUCUCAGACCAGCGGAAGACGAACCACUGCGAAAGCAUUUGCCAGGGAUGUUUUCACUGAUCAAGAACGAAAGUUAGGGGAUCGAAGACGAUCAGAUACCGUCGUAGUCUUAACCAUAAAC